GAUGAAGAACGUAGCGAAAUGCGAUAAGUAAUGUGAAUUGCAGAAUUCAGUGAAUCAUCGAAUCUUUGAACGCACCUUGCGCCCUUUGGCUAUUCCGAAGGGCAUGCCUGUUUGAGUAUCAUGAACACCUCAACUCUUCACGGCUUGCCGUGAUGAGCUUGGACUUUGGGGGUCUUGCUGGCCUGUGGGUCGGCUCCUCUCAAAUGAAUCAGCUUGCCGGUUUUUGGUGGGCAUCACAGGUGUGAUAACUAUCUACGCUUGUGGUUUUCCACCAGGGUAACCUUCAGCAGUGGAGGUUCACUGGAGCUUACAAAUGUCUCUCCUCUGUGAGGACAGCCCUUUGAAUGUUUGAUCUCAAAUCAGGUAGGACUACCCGCUGAACUUAAGCAUAUCAAUAAGCGGAGGA
rnacentral:misc_RNA from 1 species